rnacentral:rRNA from 1 species
CCUACGGGAGGCAGCAGUGGGGGAUAUUGCACAAUGGGGGGAACCCUGAUGCAGCGACGCCGCGUGGGUGAAGGAGUGCUUCGGCAUGUAAAGCCCUAUCGGCAGGGAAGAAGCAAGACGGUACCUGACUAAGAAGCCCCGGCUAACUAGGUGCCAGCAGCCGCGGUAAUACGUAGGGGGCGAGCGUUAUCCGGCUUCACUGGGUGUAAAGGGAGGGUAGACGGCCAUGCAAGCCAGGGGUGAAAGCCCGGGGCCCAACCCCGGGACUACCCUUGGAACUGGGCGGCUAGAGUGCGGGAGGGGCAGGCGGAAUUCCUGGUGUAGCGGUGAAAUGCGUAGAUAUCAGGAGGAACACCGGCGGCGAAGGCGGCCUGCUGGACCGCGACUGACGUUGAGGCUCGAAAGCGUGGGGAGCGAACAGGAUUAGAUACCCUAGUAGUC